rnacentral:lncRNA from 1 species
AGUGAGAAUACUUUUUCUUCUCCUUUUAAUUAUAGAUAAAUUAGUUUGAUUUUAAUUAAACAUUAAGCGAGCUCAAUAAUUAUCAAAUAUACAAGGUUUAUGACGGAAAAAUACAAAAGACAGGGCGGCGUUUUCCCUCUCUUUCCUAUAUCUGCGCCAAUUUCUGCCAGUGACUCAAUUCAGUUCCACUGCUGUAGAUGCCGUCUUGUUCCUUGUUGAGUUUGAGAGAAAUCGUAACUGUUCAAGUGGGGAAUUAUGCCAACUUCAUUGGCUCGCACUUCUGGAACUUCCAGG